rnacentral:tRNA from 1 species
GGUCCGUUGGUCAAGGGGUUAAGACACCGCCUUUUCACGGAGGUAACACGGGUUCGAAUCCCGUACGGACUA